AUUGAACGCUGGCGGCAGGCCUAACACAUGCAAGUCGAGCGGAUGAAGGGAGCUUGCUCCUGGAUUCAGCGGCGGACGGGUGAGUAAUGCCUAGGAAUCUGCCUGGUAGUGGGGGAUAACGUCCGGAAACGGGCGGUAAUACUGCAUACGUCCUGCGGGAGAAAGUGGGGGAUCUUCGGACCUCACGCUAUCAGAUGAGCCUAGGUCGGAUUAGCUAGUUGGUGGGGUAAAGGGCUACCAAGGCGACGAUCCGUAACUGGUCUGAGAGGAUGAUCAGUCACACGGGAAGUGAGACACGGUCCAGACUCCUACGGGAGGCAGCAGUGGGGAAUAGGGGACAAUGGGCGAAAGCCUGAUCCAGCCAGGCCGCGUGUGUGAAGAAGGUCUUCGGAUUGUAAAGCACUUUAAGUUGGGAGGAAGGGCAGUAAGUUAAUACCUUGCUGUUUUGACGUUACCAACAGAAGAAGCACCGGCUAACUUCGUG
rnacentral:rRNA from 1 species